ACGAACNCGCCUAGCAGGGGGAUAAGCGGAAGAAAUUCCGUCUAAUACCGCGUAACACCGCAGAGGGGCAUCCCUCGGCGGUUAAAGAUUCAUCGGCUGCGGAUGGCCAUGCGGCGCAUUAGCUAGUCGGCGGGGUAACGGCCCACCGAGGCGACGAUGCGUAGGGGUUCUGAGAGGAAGGUCCCCCACACUGGUACUGAGACACGGACCAGACUCCUACGGGAGGCAGCAG
rnacentral:rRNA from 1 species